UACUUUGUUUACGCUCCCUAACUAAUUCAACUUGGAAUACGAAAUGCUGCUCACAUUUCCACAUGUUAAUUACCUUUGGAAAGCGAAUUAAUGUCCAAAUCGUGAAAAUAAGACCUAUGCAAUGUGCGCAAUUUCCCCAACAUCAUGACACUUAUUUUGAGUCUGUGGCUCAAGUGGUUUGAAAGCGCGAAUAUCCGUCUUGAAACUGUCUUUACCUCGGUCCUGUUUUGUCUCUUAGAUCAGUCUAGUUUCCAGACAACUCACAGAUAACACUGGCAUUAUUCACUGGCACUAUAAUGUGGUGGCUACUUAUUCCCGCCCUAUUUAAUUUAUUGGAAUACUUUCUAUCAUUCUACUUCCGCUUGAAUUUUCCCAAGCUAAUAGAAACAAAAACGAUUCAAUUGAAUUUGAGUUAAUACCGACGCAUUCUUACAGUAAAAUAAUACAUUGACACCCCGGCCAUGUUGAUUGGUUCGAAAUUAGCAUUUCAAGCAAAUUAUGUUACAUUUUUCAUUUAGCCAGAUAAAACAGCUGUCGAGUGUGCUGACAACAGGAUGCUGGAGAUUCUUCAUUUUAAAAAUCACGGCAACUCGGAGAAUGGUGGGGUGGGUCAAUGACUGUCGAUUGCUUUAAUUUGAGGCUGUCAACGAUUGCAGUGGCAUAGGCUAUAUUGUUAACAUCUAAUCUGAGUCGCACACUGGCACAACAUGCGUUCUUGGAAAUAAGUAGUUUACUGAUACUGUAAAUUGCAUGCUAUUGCCAGCCUACCAUUGUUAUUUUCGAUGUGCACCAGCCGUGCAGGUAACACGAAACUGACCUAGGUCGUACUCCAGCUGCGCAUUUCAUCCAACAACAGUAAUCUUGGAUGACCGACGGUCCUAGGCAGCGGGGCAACACAUCCGCGGACGGGGAUACCCCUUCCUCCUAAUCCAGUAAAGAGGGUUUGGGAAGAGUAGCCCUGAAGAAUGAGAUUGGCCAUGUCAGCGCAUGUGAAAUUAUUGUAAUCAGGUCAGUGAGCCCAAAGGGCGUUAUGGAGAAUGCCAACUCUGUGGGGCUGGCUCUCGUCGUGUGGAUUGUCACCGGAGUGAUCACAGCCGUUGGUGCACUCUGCUAUGCCGAACUGGGCGUCACUAUCCUCAAAUCUGGAGGAGACUACUCAUACAUCAAGGACGUCUUUGGAGGACUUGCCGGUGGGUGGACAGGCUGCACCGAAAAUUAAAAUCAUGUCACGUGUGUGUGCGGUGCACAUUUCGAGCAAAAUUGCCAUAUCAACGGGGGAGAACAUUUGACGGGUUGCCAGGAAGCUAAUCCUGAAGGCGGAUGCUGUACCAUCGUGAUCAGUGGAUCUUGCCAGCGCUGACCAAAAUCCCCCUACACCGAGUCUGAGAAAUGCCAGCACACACGUUGACACGAAGGAGUUGUCCACAAAAGGAGUUGCAGGUGUGUAUAGUAUUUGUAAUUUACCCCUGAAAAUCAUAUUUUGGCAUUCCAUUGUGUGGGUUGCUGUCUUACAGUUUACGUAGCUUGUGUCAUUGGAUAAUAGU